UCUCAUUAUCUUCUGACGUUGUUGCAGUUGCAAACCACCAAACCCGAUCGAAUCACUGAAUCACUGAGUCAGUUGAGAGCCGAAUUAAUCCGAUUACUGAAUGAAUCAUGGCGACCAUGGUUCUUUUUUUGGAAACGAAGCCAGCUUCGGUUAUGUGAACUGAAUCAUUGGAAAGAAUCAUUCAAACCAAAAUGGACUAUCGAUGCGCCUGCCGCCUAAAAGUUAGAUCUACGGCAGAUUUUCUGUGAAUAUAACGACGUAAUUUCAGAUUCUGUCCAGCAAAUAUUAUCAACAGCACCUGCUAGAGGUUCUCAGCAGCUUUGCAGAGCUGCUCCAGACAAGUGUUGUGUGGACCUCCGAUGCAAGCCACCUGCUGUCUCUUCUUCCACUCAGGCUUGUUCUUGAAGUUAUACUCAUACUGCAGAUCUUCCAAAACCUGAAAGUCCUGUUCUGUUUCCUGAUGAAAAAG